rnacentral:rRNA from 1 species
UACGAAGGGUGCAAGCGUUACUCGGAAUUACUGGGCGUAAAGCGUGCGUAGGUGGUUCGUUAAGUCUGAUGUGAAAGCCCUGGGCUCAACCUGGGAAUUGCAUUGGAUACUGGCGAGCUAGAGUACGGUAGAGGGUAGUGGAAUUCCUGGUGUAGCAGUGAAAUGCGUAGAGAUCAGGAGGAACAUCCGUGGCGAAGGCGACUACCUGGACCAGUACUGACACUGAGGCACGAAAGCGUGGGGAGCAAAC